ACGCUGGCGGUGCGCCUUAUGCAUGCAAGUCGAGCGAAGCUUUUCAGUAGUUUACUACAGAAAAUGACUGAGCGGCGAACGGGUGAGUAACGCGUGAGCAAUCUACCUUAGUUACUGGGAUAGCCCGAGGAAACUCGGAUUAAUACCGGAUAAUCUUAUUAAAUCACAUGAUAUUUUAAGUAAAGGUCAGCCGAACUAAGAUGAGCUCGCGUUCUAUCAGCUUGUUGGUGGGGUAAAAGCCUACCAAGGCUACGACGGAUAGCUGGUCUGAGAGGACGAUCAGCCACACUGGGACUGAGACACGGCCCAGACUCCUACGGGAGGCUGCAGCAGGGAAUAUUGCGCAAUGAGCGAAAGCUUGACGCAGCGACACCGCGUGUGGGAUGACGGUUCUAGGAUUGUAAACCACUUUCAGGAGGGAAGAAAAUGACGGUACCUCCACAAGAAGCCCCGGCCAACUACGUGCCAGCAGCCGCGGUAAUACGUAGGGGGCGAGCGUUGUCCGGAUUUAUUGGGCGUAAAGAGCUCGUAGGCGGUUCAACAAGUCGGUCGUGAAAGUUCAGGGCUUAACCCUGAAAUGUCGAUCGAUACUGUUGUGACUAGGAUAUGGUAGAGGUGAGUGGAAUUCCGAGUGUAGCGGUGAAAUGCGUAGAUAUUCGGAGGAACACCAAUAGCGAAGGCAGCUCACUGGGCCACUAUCGACGCUGAGGAGCGAAAGCUAGGGGAGCAAACAGGAUUAGAUACCCUGGUAGUCCUAGCUGUAAACGAUGGAUACUAGAUGUAGGAAUUGGAUUGACGAUUUCUGUAUCGUAGCUAACGCGUUAAGUAUCCCGCCUGGGGAGUACGGU
rnacentral:rRNA from 1 species